rnacentral:lncRNA from 1 species
CGACCCUGGGCCCUGCAGGAGGCUGUCUCCUCGGGCCCUGCCAGCCCCUGUACCACAUCCUAUGACCCCCUGCCACCAGGCCACCACCCUAGACCCCAGCCCAGACUCCCACCUUUCAGCCCUUCCAACCCAGAGACCCCCAGCUCCGGGAUCCCUCUCUCCCCAGCCCCCAGGCCUCCUUUCUGGGAAAGAAGCGGGUUUGGUCUAGUAUCUGUCUCUGCCAGUGUGCCAGGCACUGGCCCCAGGCCCCAGGUUCCCCCGACUCCCGGGUCCCUCUUACCCUGCCCCUCAUUGGUGGGGGGGCAGGGGCUGGGUUUUCUUGCUGCGGGGCCUGGAGGGGGAGGGUCCUGCCCUCCCUUCUGACCUUCGGGUGCUUUUGUUAACCUGUUCUGGCUUCUUCCUGGGUGUUUAUGGGCAGCUGGGUCUCUUCUGGUGGGGUCCUGCCCCUGGAUGGUUCCGCGACCUCCUGUGGCUCGUGCCGUCCCUGUCGCUGUCCCUGUCUCUGUCGCCCAGCGGGAGAUGGCAGCAAGGUCAGGUGGGCGGGCCUGGGACAGCGGACCCUCGACGUGGGGUUAGGGGUGUGGACCCUCACUCAGCCUAAAUCCGAGUACAACUUUUGACUCCCACGAACUUAGCUGGGAACUUAGCUAGGAACGGCUUCUCACCGACCGGAGGCCUUGUGAGGACACCCAGUCUGUGCACACCCGCUUCCUGUUCUCACAGUAACGGAGGCUGGAGACCAGAAAGUAUAUUCAGAAAAGCCUAAGGGGCCGGGCGUGGGGGCUCACGCCUGGAAUCCCAGCACUUUGGGAGGCUGAGGCGGGUGGAUCACCUGAGGUCAGGAGAUCGAGACCAGCCGGGCCAACACAGUGAAUCCCUGUCUCCACAAAAAUACAAAAAUUAACCGGGCGUGGUGGCACACGUCUGUAAUCCCAGCUACUCAGGAGGCUGAGGUAGGAGAAUCUCGUGAACUCAGGAGGCAGAGGUUGCAGGGAACAGACUGCGCCGCUGCACUCCAGCCCAGGCGACACAGUGGCACUCCAUCUCAAAAAAAUAAAAAUAAAGGACAGGCCGGGCGUGGUGGCUCA